CGUCCUGAAGGAGCGGAGCGCUUUACACAGGGCCCGGCAGGGUGCGGGGCAGGCAGACGCCUCCCUAGUGCUGGGCUCCGGCCCCACAGGGGAAGGGGGCGGGAUGCUGAGGCGGGGUUAAGCGACGCCAUCUCAGCGCGCCCGGGGCAGUAGAGGAGAUGGUGGCCCAAGCGUGGAGCCGGGCGCUAUGCGCCAGGCUCUGCCCUGGGGCUCCGCGCCGCCUGCAUGGCUGGGGCAGCGCCGCCUUCUCCUCUCGCUCGCCGUCAUCAAGCACCAAUGAUGGGUUUCUAAAAGAAAAACGUGCCCAAAUCAUGUCUCGAGGACUUCCAAAACAAAAGCCAAUAGAAGGAGUUAAGCAGGUAUUGGUUUUUGCUUCUGGGAAAGGGGGAGUUGGAAAGUCAACAACAGCAGUAAACAUAGCCCUUGCAUUAGCAGCACAUGAUUCGACAAAAGGAGUUGGUUUGCUUGAUGCAGAUGUAUAUGGCCCUUCAAUUCCAAAGAUGAUGAAUUUGAAAGGAAAUCCAGAAUUAUCACCAAAAAACUUAAUGAGACCCCUUAAGAACUAUGGCAUUGCAUGUAUGUCGAUGGGUUUCUUGGUAGAAGAGACUGCACCAGUUGUGUGGAGAGGACUCAUGGUAAUGUCAGCUAUAGAGAAAUUGUUGAGGCAGGUAGACUGGGGUCAACUGGACUACUUAGUAAUUGAUAUGCCACCUGGAACAGGAGACGUACAGUUAUCAGUCUCACAGAAUGUUCCAGUUACAGGGGCAGUGAUUGUUUCCACUCCACAAGACAUUGCUUUACUGGAUGCACGCAAAGGAGCUGAGAUGUUUCGAAAAGUCCAUGUGCCUGUUUUGGGACUUGUCCAAAAUAUGAGUGUUUUCCAAUGCCCGAAGUGUAAACAUGAGACCCAUAUUUUUGGAGCUGAUGGUGUGAGAGAUCUAGCAAAAACCCUUGGACUUGAUGUUUUAGGAGACAUUCCAUUGCAUGUUAAUAUAAGAGAGACAUGUGAUGCCGGCCAGCCUAUUGUCAUCUCACAGCCUCAAAGUGACACAUGCCUUCAGGGUUAGUGAGGGUGUGCUGGUGUCAAGGGGACAGCUCCAGGAGUGCCCUCGAAUUGGUAGAUGUGCAACUUAAACAAGGAGCAGUGCCUUUGAAAAUUAAGGCCAAAGCCUAUCUAAGGAUAGCUACUGAAAUAGUAAGGAGAUUGCCAACUCCUCCAGCAUGAUGUGCUCAUGUCGGGUACCUGUGAUCAGAACUUAACAAUAAAGUGAUUCGAUGGUGUAAGCAAUGGUGGAACAAGCAGAAGUACAUAACUCUAUGGAUUAUCUAUUGUAUUUGUAAAAAAAUUUUGAAGUUUAGGAAACAAAGUUUGGAAAUAUUGUUAUUUUAUAUUUGUCAUGACAUCAUUUGGUUACAUUCAAAUGGAUUGAAGGAUUCAGAAGGAAAAUGGAUGGUACCUGACAUUUUUAUAUGGUUGUCCGCUGCUGAUUUUUAAUAUCCUUGAACAACAAGGACAAAGUGCAUCAUUCAGCAAUGGAGUUUCCCUCAGUUUUAAUGUGAAGGUUCAGCCUGUGGAAACUGCAGUCCCAGAAUACAAUGUGCCAUCUUCAUCCAAGCAGAAAGAUUCAAAAGUGGACCAUGGCAUGUUGAGGAUUAUAGUCCCUGGCUCACAACUGUAUAAAAGAUGAGGGCAUCUGCAAUUUCCCCAAUUUAUGUACAUUUUUAUUCAGACCUCGGUGCUCUUGUUAAAUUGCCAACAUGGUCUUAAAUUGGGCAAAGCAUCAAAAACUUAAUUAGCAAAUGAAAAAACUAUGUAAUUACCAUAUGUUUGUGUACAUUUACACUUAAGCCUCAAAAACAAUAUGAUCUGCGUAUUCUGUAAUGACUUUUCCUAAUGGUUCAAGAGCAAAUUUCUUCCCUAUUGGAUUAUAUUGGGUUAUGAGGUAAUUUCCUACUUACGGGAUAAUGGACUAUAUGACCUGUAGGCAAAUUACUUGCCUGCUUUGUGUUAUGUUGAACCCAGAUAGAAAACUAGGUAACAGCAAGGUCUUCAUUAUAAGACAUAUCAUACCUGAGUUCAACUUGGCAAGGGAAAUAAAUGACAAAAAUUAAUUAAUUUCAUGACUGCAUACAGGCAUGUGUUCCCAAAUCAAAGUAACAAUGCAGGAUCUGAAUGUAUAAACUAAAGAUGUAACUAAAAAAGCAAACUAAGAUAUGAUCUUCAGACUGCAAGACCUCUUUUGUUUUUUAUUGUCUUGUGUCCUAUGAUCCUUAUUUUUCUGUUGGUAUAAUUUCUAUGGAUGAAAAAACAUGAUUCUGUGGCACAGGCUUCCAUUUACAAUUAGAAGUUUGAAUUUAUAGUCAAGACUAUUUCACACCAUUCAAAUAUGUAUCCUUAUGGGAGUUUUGCCCUUGACUUCACUAGGGCCAGGAUUUCACCCUUUGUUUAUACCAUUGUUCCUGUUGCUUUUCUCCUCUUGAAAUAAUAUGACAUAAGAUAGAAUUUGGCAUUCUUUGAGCCUGGGCACACUUAAAACAUAUGCACUGAAAGUGAAAUUUAAAAUUUUGUUUCAAAUUAUUAAUUGAAUCUCAGACUUGAGUGGAGUUUUGUAAAUAUGAAAAAUAAUUUAUUUUAAGAUGACUGAUUUUUUUUUUAACUUAGCUUUCAUUUAUGUACCUGGAAAAAAGUGCAGAGAAGUAAAAUUGCACUUCAGCUGUUUCAGUAGCCAUGUUAUUUCCAGCUUCUGGAUUGUACCUUUAUUCAAACACAAGUAUCCAAUCAUUUGCAAUUGUCUAGUGAUAUAUUUUACAAAAAUUAAACACUUAAUGGUGUGCUUCCUCUUGUCACUUCAUUGAUAACUAUUUGCCUUGUUUGUUCGGUAAGAAGUUUUAUCUCGAUAUAGGCAUUUCUGUUGCACACACCAGAGUAAUAUUAAUUUAUCUGCAUAUAUGUAUGUCUGUAAACAUUUGUAGGGCUCUCAUCACCAUAGUACUGUAGGACAUGUUAACUCUCAGUGCAAAGCUCGGAUUUCCAAAGUUGUUUUUAAAAUUUAAAAAAGUCUGUGUCAGGCUUUCCAAAUUUAGUAUUUAUUAUCUUCACUCUUGAUGUUAGCAAGUUUGUGAGGGGCUACUGACAUUUCCAGUUCAGGAUUAGAACUCUCAGAAUUCAAUUAGAGGACUGUUUUUUGGGGUUUUUUUUAUGUUUCUCCACAUCCUUGGUUGGUGUGAGGGAUCAAGUUAGGUUUUUAUAAUGUUCUUUUUAAAAAAAACAAAAAAACCCAAAGCACUAGGUUUUACUCUUUCUAGUCCUGCUGCUAUUAAGCUACCUUUAAUACCUUUCGGUUAACUACCAGUGUCCUGGGAAAACUUGUAAACAUAGUUUCCGAAAGAAUAUGCAAAAUGCUUUUUAAUUAAAUGCCUUCAUGGAAGGAUUGCCCUGUGCAUAUUUGUAAAUAAUGUUUAAUGCUCACUGUAGUGGAUGAAAUUAGAUUUUUUUAAUAAAGAGUGGUAUCAACCGUUUAAAACACUUAUAAUACAUAAAGGGCCUUGCGAGUAUGCCACUGAAAGAAUUAUCCUUGCAUAUAAGGGCAACCAUAUUCAAAACAAAACUAAAAUCAAAACAAAUUAGCAUUACAUGCCUUGUCAUCAGUAAUGGAUAAAAGAAUCUUCCUCCUAUUACUGUUUCUGCCAAUGCAUGUAAGUCUGUUGAUGCACCACAACUAUGGCUUUUACAUUAUAUAGAUACUUGCACUUCUUUUUGAUUAUACAGUGCAUAUUGAUGAUUAGUUUUGAAUGCUGCUGAAAUGACUGUAGAGCCAUGCUAAUUCACACAAAUGACUGGAAUUAAUUACUGGAUGACUUAAUUUUGAGUAUUAGUGAAAGGCACUACAUAGGAAAGGCAAUAUUUGACUAUAAAACAAUACAUAUGGUAAGUUAAAGACAUAACAUCAUAAAAUAUAUUUUGUUUGCUAUCCUCACCACAGUAAUUUACUUUCAACUACGGGAUUUGAUAUUUCAUAAGCAGUGGAACAGGUUUCUAGGGAGGUUGUGGAAUCCCUGUGUCACAAGCAUACCCUGCCAAAGACCCUGCUGCCUUGUGGUGCCCUGCUUUAUGGAGCUCUCCUUUUUAAGAAGAAAAGUGCUGUGAGUUCAGACCUCCAGGGGUUGCCUAGAGAGGCCUCCCAGGAUCAGCUGCACGCGGAAAUAGUGAGACUUGGUCCUCUAGUGUCUAGAAGGGCCAAGAGCAGACAGAGGCCAAUUAGGGCCCAGCAUGCCAGUAAAAAAUGUCUGGCUGCUUCUGUCAGGAGCUAGGGAUGGGUGAAUCUAGGACAGGGGAAGAUGGAUCUUCUUUCUGUCUUAACCCAAAAAGCCUGGUUUGGUAUGAGCCUAAUUCUAAAUGUACCUUUAUGUUGUUUAAGUGUAAAAGACUUUUAUUUCCUUUGUGGAGCAUAAGGCCCAGGUGUGCCAUCCUGAGUUGAAGGCAUAGGCGCUGACUUCCUCAGUUCCGGGGGAUGCUUGAUCCUUGCCCCCACUUCACCCCUUCCCCCAGGGCCCCACUCCGCCUCUUCCUGUUCCACCUCAGGCCCUGCCUGCCUCUUCCCACCCCAGCCUUCCCCAGGCUCUGCCUCCACUUCACCGCUUCUCCCAAGCCCCCACACCUACCCCACCUCUUCCCGCCCCUGCUCUGCCCCAUUCCACCCCCUCCCCCCACCUCUUCCUGCCCCCACUCUUCCCCCUACCCCCCCCCCCCCAGCACCUCCUGCACGCUGCUUGAACAGCUGAUCGCAGUGGGACGGUGGGGGAGGAGCUGAUCGGCAUGGCCACUGGUGGGCAGGGGGCGCUGAUCUGCGGGGCUGCCUGUGGGGGCUGAGCACCUACUGUUUUUUUUCCAUGGGCGCUCCAGACCUGGAGUGCCUACGGAGUCCACGCCUAUGGUUGAAGGUUAAUUUGAUUGCUGUAAAAUAUGGUGAGUUUGCUUUGCAAGAUGCUCCAUUGGCUCAGCCUGUAUGAUUACCUGCCUUGUGGACAGGUGCUGUAUGAGUGCAUUUGGUGCAAGGAGCUCAUAGCCUUCAGAGACCUAUAGGGACUGGGAGUGGCUGGCUCGCUACAAAAACAAUUUUCCCUCUCUUAGUAUUGACACCACCUCAUCAGGUAUUGGGAGUGGACCACAUCCACCCUGACUGAAUUGGCCUUCAACAUUGGUUCUCCACUUGUAAAGUCACUUCCUUUUCUUCAUGUGUCAAUAUGUAUUUAUUCCUGUAUCUGUAAUUUUCACGCCAUGCAUCUAAAGAAGCGGGUUUUUUACCGAUGAAAGCUUAUGCCCAAAUAAAUCUGUUAGUCUUUAAGGUGCCA